UUAACCAAGAAACAUUAAUAAUUAAUCUUUUCGUUGUCAAGCAGUCCUGGGAACAUCCUUAGGAUUUAACUUGCUAACGGCCUUAAAAACUAGAAGGAUUAUUCACGUUGUCAGAUUCAUCCAUGUGAACCAGUUAACUAGAUUACUUACUUCCACAGUGCAACACUAAUCACUGCUAAAUGCUAAAAUCACUUAAUCAAAUACGGAUUUGAAUGAUUCAGCUACUUUUGGCUUUUACACGUGUUCGAUGGGCCUUGUUCAAAUAGAU
rnacentral:lncRNA from 1 species